CAGCCCUACGGGGCGCAGCAGUGGGGAAUAUUGCACAAUGGGGGAAACCCUGAUGCAGCGACGCCGCGUGAGUGAAGAAGUAUCUCGGUACGUAAAGCUCUAUCAGCAGGGAAGAAAAAAAGUCCUUUGGACUUUGGACGGUACCUGACCAAGAAGCCCCGGCUAACUACGUGCCAGCAGCCGCGGUAAUACGUAGGGGGCAAGCGUUAUCCGGAUUUACUGGGUGUAAAGGGAGCGUAGGUGGCAAGGCAAGUCAGAUGUGAAAACCCGGGGCCCAACCCCGGGAGUGCCUUUGAAACUGUCUG
rnacentral:rRNA from 1 species